rfam:Triticum aestivum genome assembly, contig: Triticum_aestivum_CS42_TGACv1_scaffold_602576_7DL
CAUGUACUCCCUCCGUUCGGAAUUACUUGUCACAAAAAUGAAUAUAUCUACAAUUAAAAUACAUCUAGAUACAUUCAUUUUUUGGACGAGUAAUUUCAAACGGAGGGAGUACUUC